GACCACUGCGGGACUGUGCAGCUGGGGGGCCUCUCGAGCGCCCCGGCUGCCCCCACCCUGGUCCUAGCCAGCCCCGGGCCUCCUUGCUCUCGCCAAGCCCUCUUGGGGGCUCAUCAGCGAGAAAGGGAGGGGGAGGAGAGAAGAGGGGGAUGCAUGCCUGACUCAGAAGGGGUGACUCAGCCUCAGUGGGCCUCCCAUCCCACCGGAGCCGGAUCCCCUCACCACCCCUGCAGCACAGCGACAGGGCAGAACCCGCCUAGGACUCGGCGUCCUCCCCCACCGGGAGGAGGUAUUACAACUGUCUCCUGGGAAUCCUCUGUGCCUCUGAGUGUGUCCAGAGGGUGUCUAUGUGUACAUUUGUCCACAUGCGCCUUGGUGACAAUGACAGUAAGUGUAACAGUGAGAGCCCAGGGACCUAUUGGGGAUGGGGCCUGUGUACAGGCGCACUUGCUGUAUGUGUCUGAGCACAGGCUGAGUGUGCACCUGAGCUCCAGGAAAGGGCAGGGGCUGGCCAAGCAGCUUGUGGCAGAGAUCAUGGCUCAAAACCAAGGUGUCUUUAGACAAAGCUUCCGGUGCCUUCACUCCCCCUGCUCACCAGGUUCAGCAGCGGAUGAAGAGCAGAGAGCAGAAUGAAGCCAGCUUCUCCCAGUCCUAGAGAACAGGCCCACCCUCCAGACAGAAGGUGGGAAGACAGACAAAUCUGCCCAGGCCGACUGACAGAAGGACGAGUGUCCUGCUUGGCAGCCUUCUGUACAAAUCCUGUCCUUUGCCUUUGGACUUCUCAUCCCCAGGCCUUUCAAAUUCACUUUUUCCCAGGAGCUCCCAAGGGAGUCUCACACAGGCCCCUGGGGCCGUGGCCUUGGGCAAGUCACUUUGCCACACAAGGUGCUCUGUUUGAGUUUAGCUCACCACACAUUUAUUUAAAUGAAUGAGUGAAAGGACCAAUAAAACUCAGGAGUUAUACCAGA